UAUCCGUAGGUGAACCUGCGGAGGGAUCAUUACAAGUGACCCCGGUCUUACCACCUGGAUGUUCAUAACCCUUUGUUGUCCGACUCUGUUGCCUCCGGGGCGACCCUGCCUACGGGCGGGGGCUCCGGGUGGACACUUCAAACUCUUGCGUAACUUUGCAGUCUGAGUAAACUUAAUUAAUAAAUUAAAACUUUUAACAACGGAUCUCUUGGUUCUG
rnacentral:misc_RNA from 1 species